rnacentral:rRNA from 1 species
UACGAAGGGGGCUAGCGUUGCUCGGAAUCACUGGGCGUAAAGGGUGCGUAGGCGGGUCUUUAAGUCAGGGGUGAAAUCCUGGAGCUCAACUCCAGAACUGCCCUUGAUACUGAGGAUCUUGAGUAUGGGAGAGGUGAGUGGAACUGCGAGUGUAGAGGUGAAAUUCGUAGAUAUUCGCAAGAACACCAGUGGCGAAGGCGGCUCACUGGCCCAUUACUGACGCUGAGGCACGAAAGCGUGGGGAGCAAACAGG